GAUCUAUGGGAGGACAAACAAAAGACUGGCGGGAGUUUAGACCAAUCAGAGCGCGGGACUCCGCCUCUUGGACGUUCGGUUUUGAAGCGCGAGCGCUCUCCGCCGUUCCUCCGUUUAAAGCCAAACGCGGCCGUUACAGCCGUUACAGUGAGCGGGUCUCUCAGGUCGCUACCGCGGGCAGUUUAUCGAGUUUGUUUAGCGAGUGUUAAACCUGAUAAGACUCUCUUACACUCCUUACUAAGACAGCGCCGCCUGCCGGGUGACGCAUUCAGCUCCCAGAAACGAGGAGUUUCAGCUGCGUAGCUGACUAACGAUAACUACUGACUGGACCGAGUGGAGUGGAGACUGGUUUUACGACUGGAGUCCCGACUGCAGCGGUCAGAGUCUGCUUUUAAAAGAUGUUUCUCAUCAGAAAUCAUCUGAAGCUGAGCAACUGGAACAUUCUCUCUUUGGGCCUCAUCCAGUAUGGUGGCAGUCCAUAUCAUUUUCAACACUCAACUGUGCUCUUACACAAGUG